UACGUAGGGUGCGAGCGUUAAUCGGAAUUACUGGGCGUAAAGCGUGCGCAGGCGGUUUUGUAAGCCAGAUGUGAAAUCCCCGGGCUUAACCUGGGAAUGGCAUUUGGGACUGCAAGGCUGGGGUAUGGCAGAGGAGACUAGAAUUCCUGGUGUAGCAGUGAAAUGCGUAGAUAUCAGGAGGAAUACCGAUGGCGAAGGCAGGUCUCUGGGCCAAUACUGACGCUCAUGCACGAAAGCGUGGGGAGCAAACAGG
rnacentral:rRNA from 1 species